GACGAACGCUGGCGGCGUGCUUAACACAUGCAAGUCGAACGGUAAGGCCCUUUCGGGGGUACACGAGUGGCGAACGGGUGAGUAACACGUGGGUGAUCUGCCCUGCACUUUGGGAUAAGCCUGGGAAACUGGGUCUAAUACCGGAUAGGACUACGCGAUGCAUGUCGUGUGGUGGAAAGCUUUUGCGGUGUGGGAUGGGCCCGCGGCCUAUCAGCUUGUUGGUGGGGUGAUGGCCUACCAAGGCGACGACGGGUAGCCGGCCUGAGAGGGUGUCCGGCCACACUGGGACUGAGAUACGGCCCAGACUCCUACGGGAGGCAGCAGUGGGGAAUAUUGCACAAUGGGCGCAAGCCUGAUGCAGCGACGCCGCGUGGGGAUGACGGCCUUCGGGUUGUAAACCCCUUUCAGCACAGACGAAGCGUAAGUGACGGUAUGUGCAGAAGAAGCACCGGCCAACUACGUG
rnacentral:rRNA from 1 species